UACGGAGGGGGGCUAGCGUUGUUCGGAAUUACUGGGCGUAAAGGGGUGCGUAGGUGGUUAGGUAAGUCCGAUGUGAAAUCUCCAGGCUCAACCUGGAAAUGGCAUUGGAUACUAUCUAGCUUGAGGGAGUGGAGGGGGGGACUGGAAUUCUCGGUGUAGCAGUGAAAUGCGUAGAUAUCGAGAGGAACACCAGUGGCGAAGGCGAGUCCCUGGACACUUCCUGACACUGAGGCACGAAAGCUAGGGGAGCAAACAGG
rnacentral:rRNA from 1 species